UGGGUUGUGGCUCAGUGGUAGAGCGCUCGCCUAGCACGUGUGAGGCCCUGGGUUCAAUCCCCAGCACCACAU
rnacentral:tRNA from 1 species